rnacentral:rRNA from 1 species
ACUAAGGCUAGCCCAUAAAAUGAACCUCAAGUUAAAACUUGAAAACCAAAACAAACAAAACAUUUAAUUAAUAUUAGAGUAUAGGAGAUAGAAAUAAUUUCCUUGGCGCAAUAGAGACAGUACCGUAAGGGAACGAGUGAAAGAAAUUAUUAAAAGUAUAAUACAGCAAAGAUUACCCCUUGUACCUUUUGCAUAAUGACUUAACUAGAAUAACCUUAGCAAAGAGCACUUUAGUUAAUUAUCCCGAAACCAGACGAGCUAUUCAUGAACAGCUAAUAGAGCCAACUCAUCUAUGUGGCAAAAUAGUGAGAAGAUUUAUGAAUAGAGGUGAUAUGCCUACCGAGCCUGGUGAUAGCUGGUUAUCCAGACGAGAAUUUUAGUUCAACUUUAAGCUUACCUAAAAAAUAUUAAAUUUUAAUGUAAGCUUAAAUGUUAAUCUGCAGAGGUACAGCUCUGCAGAACAAGAUUACAACCUUAAUUAGUGAGUAAAUUUAUUUAAUUACCAUAGUUGGCCUAAAAGCAGCCAUCAAUUAAGAAAGCGUUCAAGCUCAACAGUAAAAUUUAUAUUUAAUCCAAAAAAUUAAUUACAUAAACUCCUAAUAUGACUACUGGAUUAUUCUACCUAUCUGUAGAAGAAAUACUGUUAAAAUGAGUAACAAGAUUUUUAUCUCCAUACACACGUGUAUAUCAGCCCGAAUCCUAACUGAUAGUUAACAAUUAGAUAAAUCUAUUCAUCAAAUUAAUAAUUUAUCACAACAUUGUUAAUCCAACACCGGAGUGAAUAUAAGGAAAGAUUAAAAAAAGUAAAAGGAACUCGGCAAACAUAAACCCCGCCUGUUUACCAAAAACAUCACCUCUAGCAUUAUUAGUAUUAGAGGCACUGCCUGCCCAGUGACAUUAGUUUAACGGCCGCGGUAUCCUGACCGUGCAAAGGUAGCAUAAUCAUUUGUUCCUUAAUUAGGGACUUGUAUGAAUGGCCACACGAGGGUUUAACUGUCUCUUACUUUUAAUCAGUGAAAUUGACCCUCCCGUGAAGAGGCGGGAAUAAAAAAAUAAGACGAGAAGACCCUAUGGAGCUUAAAUUUAAGUGUUCAACAAAAUUCAAACUUAAUCCAACAGGAAUAAUCUUAUUUUAACUGAACAACAAAUUUUGGUUGGGGUGACCUCGGAGUAUAAUAAAACCUCCGAGUAAUUUUAACUAAGACUUACCUGUCAAAGUGAUAUAACUUAUUGAUCCAAUCAAAUUGAUCAACGAAACAAGUUACCCUAGGGAUAACAGCGCAAUCCUAUUUGAGAGUUCAUAUCGACAAUAGGGUUUACGACCUCGAUGUUGGAUCAGGACACCCAAAUGGUGCAGCAGCUAUUAAAGGUUCGUUUGUUCAACGAUUAAAGUCCUACGUGAUCUGAGUUCAGACCGGAGAAAUCCAGGUCGGUUUCUAUCUAUUAAAAAUUUCUCCCAGUACGAAAGGACAAGAGAAAUGAAGCCUACUCUAAAGAGCGCUCCCACAGAUUAACAGAUGAAACUAUCUCAACCUGAACAACUAUUUAUAACACUAACCCUAGACCAGGGUUC